AAGUGUCAAAUAUACAAAUUAAUGAUUUUUUAUUCGUAUCCUCUAUUUGGAAAUUAAUAGAAUUAUUAUUGAUGAUCGCACAAUGGUUUAAUCAACGUGUCUUUAAUGACUAUAUUUGAGUAGUCAUAUGUUAAGAUAAAAUAAAAACAUUUGAAAGUUAUAUCAGCUCUGUGAUUGAACAAUUAUUCCUCUCGAAAAGCAAAUGUGCCACAAUGGUAUAUGAUGGAGAACCGGCUUUUUAUAUUACAAAAGGACAUAUGUUUUUUUUAUACAAGUAUAUAGGGACGAGUUUUCGCCAAAAAAUUAUCUCGGCUGAAUUUUCCAGUACCUCCUGCUUUUCGUUUUCUCGGAGAGUUGAAGAAAAAUAAUAAAAAGAUAACAAAGAUUAAAAAAAUUGGAGAUAGCUGCUUUUUCUUUGAGAAACGGCGAAUGAAUUGAUGUUGCGACAGA